rnacentral:rRNA from 1 species
UGGGGAAUAUUGGACAAUGGGGGAAACCCUGAUCCAGCAAUGCCGCGUGAGUGAAGAAGGCCUUAGGGUUGUAAAGCUCUUUCGCCCGCGAAGAUAAUGACGGUAGCGGGAGAAGAAGCCCCGGCUGACUCCGUGCCAGCAGCCACGGUAAUACGGAGGGGGCUAGCGUUGUUCGGAAUUACUGGGCGUAAAGCGUACGUAGGCGGAUGCGCAAGUUGGGGGUGAAAUCCCGGGGCUUAACCUCGGAAUUGCCCUCAAAACUGCACGUCUUGAGACCGAGAGAGGUAAGGGGAAUUCCUAGUGUAGAGGUGAAAUUCGUAGAUAUUAGUAAGAACACCAGUGGCGAAGGCGCCUUACUGGCUCGGUACUGACGCUGAGGUACGAAAGCGUGGGGAGCAAACA